AGAAAGCCUGGAGCACCUCAGGCCCCAACCUCUCACCUCCAGCUUCUUCAUCUUCAGCUGGCUUCCUCUCCAAACUGCAAUGGCCGCUCACCAGCUGGAAGACCUAGGUGAAUGUCUCCUUCAAGACCUGGCUCAACUGCUACCUUCAGAGAAUCUUCCCUGAUGGCCACAUGGCUGGUCUCCACCCACCUUGCCACAGCCUAACUUCCAGCAUCACCAGUGUCUGUCUCUGCCCAGCCACAUUUCCUGCUUCAAAGGCAAAGCAGAGGAAUGGCUCUAACACAUGUGUACUGGCCCUGGGCAAAUCACACAGCAGGUGUCCAGCAGGGCCAGGGAAGCAGGAAGACCCCUGGACCACCAGGGGCAAGAAAGAGGCAGGCAGGGGCAGCUGGCCAGGUUUGUGCUCGGACUGUAUUCACACAGAGACAUGUGGCAGCUUAUAUUGGACAAAAUGGGUAAUAAAAAUUGGCU